AAAGUACUCCCUCCGUCCCAAAAUUCUUGUCUUAGAUUUUUCUAGAUACGGAUGUAUCAAGUCACAUUUUAGUAUUAGAUACAUCCAUAUCUAGACAAAUCUAAGACAAGAAAUUUGAGACAAAGGGAGUAGUUG
rnacentral:pre_miRNA from 1 species